rnacentral:rRNA from 1 species
AUACGGAGGGUGCAAACGUUGCUCGGAAUCACUGGGCGUAAAGCGCGCGCAGGCGGGCUGAUAAGUUGGAUGUGAAAGCCUACGGCUCAACCGUAGAACUGCAUCCAAAACUGUCAGUCUAGAGUCUGGGAGGGGAAGAUGGAAUUAGUUGUGUAGGGGUAAAAUCCGUAGAGAUAACUAGGAAUACCAAAAGCGAAGGCGAUCUUCUGGAACAGUACUGACGCUGAGGCGCGAAAGCGUGGGGAGCAAACAGGAUUAGAAACCCUAGUAGUCC